rnacentral:rRNA from 1 species
UACAGAGGGUGCAAGCGUUAAUCGGAAUUACUGGGCGUAAAGCGUGCGUAGUCGGUUAUUCAAGUCGGGCGUGAAAGCCCCGGGCUCAACCUGGGAAUUGCGUCCGAUACUGUCUAGCUAGAGUUCGGCAGAGGGAAGUGGAAUUUCAGGUGUAGCGGUGAAAUGCGUAGAUAUCUGAAGGAACAUCAGUGGCGAAAGCGACUUCCUGGACCAGAACUGACGAUCAGGCACGAAGGCGUGGGGAGCAAACAGG